rnacentral:rRNA from 1 species
GUCCCAAAGUCAUGGUUAAGUGGGAAACGAUGUGGGAAGGCACAGACAGCCAGGAUGUUGGCUUAGAAGCAGCCAUUAUUUAAAGAAAGCGUAAUAGCUCACUGGUCGAGUCGGCCUGCGCGGAAGAUGUAACGGGGCUAAACCAUGCACCGAAGCUGCGGCAGCGACACUAUGUGUUGUUGGGUAGGGGAGCGUUCUGUAAGCCUGCGAAGGUGUGCUGUGAGGCAUGCUGGAGGUAUCAGAAGUGCGAAUGCUGACAUAAGUAACGAUAAAGCGGGUGAAAAGCCCGCUCGCCGGAAGACCAAGGGUUCCUGUCCAACGUUAAUCGGGGCAGGGUGAGUCGACCCCUAAGGCGAGGCCGAAAGGC